GAAUAUUGGACAAUGGGGGAAACCCUGACCCAGCGACGCCGCGUGUGUGAAGAAGGCCUGCGGGUUGUAAAGCACUUUUAGUGGGGAUGAAAAGCACCAGGCUAAUACCCGGGUGUCUUGACCUAACCCAAAGAAAAAGCACCGGCUAACUCUGUGCCAGCAGCCGCGGUAAUACAGAGGGUGCGAGCGUUAAUCGGAAUUACUGGGCGUAAAGCGCACGUAGGCGGUUUUGUAAGUCGGAUGUGAAAGCCCCGGGCUUAACCUGGGAACGGCAUUCGAGACUGCAUUACUGGAGUAUGGGAGAGGGCAGUGGAAUUUCCGGUGUAGCGGUGAAAUGCGUAGAUAUCGGAAGGAACAUCAGUGGCGAAAGCGACUGCCUGGCCCAAUACUGACGCUCAUGUGCGAAAGCGUGGGGAGCAAAC
rnacentral:rRNA from 1 species